rnacentral:rRNA from 1 species
UACGUAGGGUGCAAGCGUUAAUCGGAAUUACUGGGCGUAAAGUGUGCGUAGGCGGUCGGACAAGUGGAAGGUGAAAUCCCCGGGCUCAACCUGGGAAUUGCGAUGGAGACUGCAAGGCUUGAAUCUGGCAGAGGGGGUAGAAGUUCCACGUGUAGCAGUGAAAUGCGUAGAGAUGUGGAGGAACACCGAUGGCGAAGGCAGCCCCCUGGGUCAAGAUUGACGCUCAUGCACGAAAGCGUGGGGAGCAAACAGG